CAAUACUAAACUGAUACACAAAGGAUCCCCGUACUUCAUCAAAAUAUCAAUGUUGUCCAUGACACACAAAGAACCCAGCUGUAGUUUAAUUCAGCAUCACAGUCCCAACAUGUUUUAAAACAUGUUCCAGUUUACAGCUUUUGGUCCCAGGAUUAUUCAACCUAGCUCAUAAAAGAAAACAAUAUUGCAUUUCUAAGUAUUGGCUCCUAGAAUUGGCAAGUUUAGUCAAGAAAAGCUGGAAUGCCGUUAAAACAACACCCUGUCAUCUUUCAAUCAGUCCUUAGCUGAAGUUAAAAUCCCACUCAUUCUGCAUGAUCCAGCCUCUGUAGCAUAGAGUGAGUAGCCCCUUAACAAGAACCAAAAUGGAGGGUACGGAUGAGGCUCAGAUCGUCACCACCUGGAGAAUAGAGACAGUGACUGAGUCACCAGGAAAUCUGUCCCCUGCUCAUCCCAGAAUCCCCGAGCUUUGACUUUUUAAGAGAACAUGUGACAGAUAAUGCCAUCUGAGAAGCUUAGGCAACUCAGUCAUCAAUGUGUCCUCGAGAAGAGCAUAUCCCCAAAUUGGAAAAUAAUCCUUCAGGGCAUCUGAACAUAACCACAUUUGGCUUACUUUGUGAAGCAGUUGUCUGAAUAGAAUAAGACUGGCUUGGAACGAGAUUCACAGAGCAACCAAAUAAAGAUGAUUGAGUGAAUGGCUAAAGAAAUAAAUAUGUUCGAAUCUGUACCCAUCUCAUGUCUUUCCUGAUGAUUGCCUCCUUUACUGUAUGUUUUCCACUGAGAUGAAGAUUUUGGUCAUUUCCUCAUUCAUGUUCCUGCUUUUCAAAACCCAAGCAAGAAAGGAAACUUCUACAGUGACUUUCUCAUUAUGAAAUCUUAGCAUUCACUAGUCGGCCAUAAUGGAAAACCAGCCAAAUGGACACAUAUACACUGGUCUGUACCCGCAGAGAAAGAAAUGCAAAUCUCUGUGAUCAGAAAACUAUCCUAUCUUGUACAUUGUUAAAAGUCUGCCUCCAAAAAGUUUACUUCUGGAAUACUGUAAUUGAAUAGAAUCAGGGAUCCUACCUGUGUCCUUCAACUUUCACAUCUUGUCUACUCAAGUAAGGGUUGAAUUUGCAUGACUAUAUCUAAGGUUCGAGGGCUUACCUGUUGGCAGUAGACCCAGUAGUCUAUGAAUGGAAAUGGGCAAACCUGUGACCUCCCAAAACUUUAAUAUGAAAGUUUUGUUUGUGUAUACUCAUGGCAUUAUUCUUUUAAUAAAGAGAUAAUCUAUAUAGUUUUCUUUUUUAAAAGAUACUUUUAUUUCUUUAUUGUUGGGAACUGACACAGCUAAUUUCUUUCUGAAGAGGUUCUUUGGUUGAGAAUGG
rnacentral:lncRNA from 10 species